CAAUGCUCCCUUAUGGGUUUGUUGGGAAAUAUUUUCAAGAUAAUACAGUCCUUCACUUUGUCUACCACUGCCAAUCUUCUCCUUGGUGUAUAUAUUCUGAAAAAGACAAUGAGUAGGGUAAAACAUAGCAACACAAGAAUGUGACUUGGUUAAUUUGCUGACAGAGAGAAGGUUACAAUUCAAAGUAUGAACAAAUAAGACAUCGGGUAUGGAUAAUGAGGGUGAGAGGAAUACAAUACCCACACCUUCAAUAGGAG
rnacentral:lncRNA from 1 species